CUCUGGCAAGGGGCCCCCCUCCUCCCUGCAGAAGUUCCACGGGAAACACGGCAGGGGUCAGCAAAUAGCCUCCCUGGUCAACAGGCAGGGGGACAGGGCCUGAGACGCACCCCUUCCACCCCACCCUCCAGACAGCAGACAGCAGCCCAAGCUGUCCUGAAGUAACUGCUCUCUUCUGGGACCUCACAAAGUGCCACAGCACUUGUCAGAACCCACAGCAUCACUAGGAUAUUCAGUGAAGGGGACGGUGUCCAGGACAGGACCUGCGUGCCCACCAUGCGGUGGGGACGGGGCACGAGCAGUUAUGGAGGCCUUGGCGCACCAAGACCGUCAGCGUAGGCCUGGCUGUGGCCGUGGUCCCUGCUGUACUCGAGGCCCAACUGCAACUGUUUGUUUGCCAGCUCUAUGCCAAGCUCCACCCCAGAUGUACAGUGGGAGCAACAGGGAGGAGCUUCAGGGCAGCAGGGGAGAUAAGAAGCAAGUGAUCAGGCGAUCAGAAUGUAAGCGCUCAGAGGGCAGACCCAGCAGAAUGAAUUGAUACAUGGUUGGCACCCAAUAAAUAUCUGUUGAUGGAUCACAUGAAGGCCAGUACGGGGUAUUCGACUUGGCCCCUCGAGGACUUGGCACAGAGCCUGGGCGCAAUAAAAGCUGGCUGCGUGGAGUUAUUUGCUAAACGAAUGAACGAAACAACGAGCAGACCAACUAAGCGAAGCAGCGUCCCGCCUGCUGACUGACGGGUUGACUGACACUUGGGAGCCCGUGGCCAGAAGACUCUUGAUGGAUGGGUGACAGCUGAGCGGCAGUCAACAGACGCGCACGGGGUUCCUGACUGGCUGGCCGCAGCAGCCCCUCGGAAAGGGUAAGGGAAGAG
ensembl:lncRNA